rnacentral:rRNA from 1 species
UACGGGGGGGGCAAGCGUUGUUCGGAAUUACUGGGCGUAAAGGGCUCGUAGGCGGCCCUCUCAGUCGGAUGUGAAAUCCCCAGGCUUAACCUGGGAACGGCAUCCGAUACUGGAGGGCUUGAAUUCGGGAGAGGGAUGCAGAAUUCCAGGUGUAGCGGUGAAAUGCGUAGAUAUCUGGAGGAACACCGGUGGUGUAAACGGCUUUCUGGACCAUUACUGACGCUGAGGCACGAAAGCGUGGGUAGCAAACAGG